CCAAACUCCGCCCCUCCCGCCCCGCCCCCCCCGCGGCGGUCAGCGCAGGCGCACUUCCAGGCCCGUCCGGGAGCGCUCUCUGCUCUCCGGGUUGGCUGCCCGGUUGCUGCCUGCUGGCUGCAUCCUUCCUUGCAACCUCUGGUGCCUUCCUCUCCAAGCUCUAAGGCCGGUGUCACAGAUGCGAUAUCUGUUCCUGGUUUCCGAAAUAAGCUGAGGGCUCGGCAGCUCUACAGCCCUCUGCUAGGUUUCCUGCAGCUCCUGUCAAAAUACAAAUCCUACCUCAUCGCAUUGAAGCGACUUUCGCACCUGCUUGCCAACCUUUAAACUAAUUGUUUGGCUAACCUGGUGCGGCGAUCCAUCCAACAGAAGUAAAAUCCCAGAACCCUUCUGUGCCAAUAAAGCACUGGACGCAACAGUCUGACAUAUAGUAGAUUUAAAUAAAUGAUUGUCCAGUC